GUUUUGGGGAAGACAGCUGUACACAGGGAAGGUAAUGUGGAAGGCAGGAAGUGCUCUUAAUUUUUGCUUCUUAAAUGUGAAUGUGUAAAGGAAUCCUGAGGUCUUACAGAUAUGCAGUAAAUGUGGAGUCUGCAUUUCUGUGAAGUUCCCUGCUGAUGUGGCGAUGCCAGUACUUCUGGUUACCAGACCACACUUGAAGAGCAGGGCUCCAAUUGGUGCCAGCAGAGUAGCUGCCAAAUGACUUCUCAUUCCCCCAAGGCCCCCCGUUAUUUCUUAUAUUUAGGGUCUGUGAGAUUCUCUUGAAUUUUUUCAGUGAGUCUUCAUUUUUCUUAGAUGGUUUCUGUGGGUUUUUAUUCCUUUUGAUCAUUCUAUCAGAUGAUAUCUGACCAAGGAAGGCAUGUUUUGGAAAUGGAGAGUUUGCCGUAUAAUGGCCUUGACAAAUAUAGGAAAAAAAGUGAUAUUGUGAGGUCUUAAUCAAAGGACCCUGUAUUUUAUUCUGUAGACAGCUGACUGUCCUGAAGUCUUUGACUUUUCCAGGAAAUCCAUCAUGAUCCUAGCUGGUGAUAGAAACAUUAAUGUAGUCAGUGUGUGUGGGUUAAUUGGGAUGAGGAAUCAAACAGGCUCUAGGCAGGCAGAAGGGAGGGCAAAGGGCAUGAGGCCCAUGGCAGCAGUGUUGACUUUCUUUUUAAAAAUCUUCAGAAGCCCACUCAGUGAUACCUGUUUGACUCAUUUGCUGUAACUGUGUCAAAUGGCCAUCCUCACUGCAAGAGAGGGAAAUGAAAACGAGAGAUAUUUCACCUAUCAUAUUGAGAAUAAUUAAAUUAUAUUCAAUGUUGGUGAGAGUGCAGCAAAGCAGGAAUAGACUUCUGGAGACAAUGACUAGACAUCUGAUAGUAUAGAUGUCUUAGUCAGUUUGGGCUACAAUAACAGACUGCCAUAGAUUGGAUGGCUUAUAAACAACAGAAAUUUAUUUCAUACAGUUCUAGUCCAAGAUCAAGGUGCAGGCAGGUUCUGUCUGGCAAGGGCCUGCUUCCUGGCUAAUAGACAGCCAUCUUCUCGCUGUAUCCUCACAUGGUGGCAAGAAAGGGAGCUCUCCGGGCUCUUUUUUAAGGGCAUUAAUCCCAUUCAUGAGGGUUCUGCCAUAGCCCAACCUCCUAAUACAAUCACAUCAGGGGUUAGGAUUUCAGAAUAUGAAUUUGUGGGGAGGACAAACAUUCAGUCUAUAGCGACAGAUGAGUAUUAUUUUUUUAGUUGGGAAGAGACCAAUAUUAUUUAGAAAGUGCUUGCUGGGGAAUCCAGGCAAUUGGAGGGGCUUAUUGAGGGCAAUUAUGAAAUACUGGGGCAGGGGGCAUAUUACAUGUGGUUGAGGAGUGAUGAAAGAUGAAAAAAUAUGAGGCAGCAUUUUGGGACUCAGCUUUUGAGAAAGUUGGGAACAAAUGCAGAGAUGAGUAGUUCUAGUUCUAAAGACUAUUGGGAUUAUAAAAAGACUUUUAGGGAAUGAUCAAGUUUAGGAUUGGAGGAAGACGUGAAAGGAAAAGGCAAGGUUAAUGCAGCAGUAUUUGAAGGGGAAUGGGAAGAAAUGGGAUGAGAUGGACCUCAAAUAGAGCCUGUCUAAAGUAGAAAUGAAGUUGAAUGAUGAAUUUUGGAAAGCCCACAGUUAACGUUCUAAGGAAAGAAACAAAAUUAUUUCCAUUUUGCUCCCUGGUGCUGCUGACUCUUGUCAUCUUCCAAGUUGCCAUAUCCUGUUGGAUCCUGUGCCUUUUCCUUCUUCAGCAUUUUCCUUUUUUUUUUUUAGUAAGGAACUGAGUGCUAUAGGAACAACUAAGAAGAAACUGCAGGGUGUAGAAGAGCAUGGUGUGAUUAAAAGAAUGCUGAUCUGGUGGACAAGACCUAGAAUUUUAUUCCACUACUGUCACUUUUUUUUUUUUUUUUUUUUGAGAUGGAGUCUCGCUCUGUCGCCCAAACUGGAGUGCAGUGGCAAGAACUUGGCUCACCGCAACUUCUGUUUCCCGGGUUCGAGCAAUUCUCCUGCCUCAUCCUCCCGAGUAGCUGGAACUAUAGGCACGUGCCACCACACCCGGCUAAUUUUUUGUGGUUUAGUAGAGAUAGGGUUUCACUGUGUUGCCCAGACUGGUUGCAAACUCCCAAGCUGAGGCAAUCUGCCUGCUUCAGCCUCCCAAAGUGUUGAGAUUACAGGCGUGAGCUACCGUGCCCAGCUGUCACUUUUAACCUUCAUGUGAUUGGUUAUGUUCUCUACAGUGGCCUUGUGUUAGGCACAGUGGGAAUGGUGAUUUUUUUUAAUCAUUACUUUCAUUGCUUUUCAUUACUUUCAUAAUAUUGACACCUACUCAACAGUACAGAAGGUGUAUAAAGUAGGGAAGCAAGUCCACCAAACUUCCUAUGCCAGUUUAUUUAGUUUCUUAUGGAUUCUUCUAGAAGUUUUCUAGAUAUGUACAAAUAUAUAUAUCUGUCUUUUAUAUUUUUCUUUACACAGCUGAAAAUCUACAUACUGUUUUUUCAACUUGUUUUUCCAUUUGAUUGUAUCUUGGAUAUCUUUUUAUGUCAGCAUAUAUGGAUUUAUUGUAUUCUUUUACUAGUUAGUUACAAAUUACUUAUCCCACCUUAUGGAGAAACCCUAUGUUUUUUGACCUAGUCUGGUGAUUUUAAGGAGCCCCCUGAUUAUUAUGGUCUUUUAUAGCACAGUUCUCUUCUUUUUCCUAACAUGGUUCUUACAUGACAUUUUAUGUUUUCUGUUUUUUAUAGUAGAUAUUCAGACUGACAAUGAUUUGACAAAGGAAAUGUAUGAACGAAAAGAGAAUGUAUCAUUUGAACUUCAAAGAGACUUUUCCCAGGAAACAGACUUUUCAGAAGCCUCUCUUCUAGAGAAACAACAGGAAGUCUACUCAGCAGGAAAUAUAAAGAAGGAGAAGAGCAGCACCAUUGAUGGAACAGUGAAAGAUGAGACAAGCCCUGUGGAGGAGUGUUUUUUUAGUCAAAGUUCAAACUCAUAUCAGUGUCAUACCAUCACAGGAGAGCAGCCCUCUGGGUGUGCAGGAUUGGGGAAAUCCAUCAGCUUUGAUACAAAACUCGUUAAGCAUGAAAUAAUUAAUUCUGAGGAAAGACCUUUCAAAUGUGAAGAAUUAGUAGAGCCCUUUAGGUGUGACUCUCAACUUACUCAACAUCAAGAAAACAACACUGAGGAAAAGCCUUAUCAGUGUUCGGAGUGUGGCAAAGCUUUCAGCAUUAACGAGAAAUUAAUUUGGCAUCAGAGACUUCACAGUGGGGAGAAACCCUUCAAAUGUGUGGAGUGUGGGAAAAGCUUCAGCUACAGUUCCCAUUAUAUCACACAUCAGACAAUCCACAGUGGGGAGAAGCCCUAUCAGUGUAAGGUGUGUGGGAAGGCCUUCAGUGUUAAUGGAAGCCUAAGUAGGCAUCAGAGAAUCCAUACAGGAGAGAAGCCCUAUCAGUGCAAGGAAUGUGGAAAUGGCUUCAGCUGUAGUUCUGCAUAUAUUACACAUCAGAGAGUCCACACUGGAGAGAAACCUUACGAGUGUAAUGACUGUGGGAAAGCGUUCAAUGUUAAUGCAAAAUUAAUUCAACAUCAGAGAAUCCACACUGGAGAGAAACCUUAUGAAUGUAAUGAAUGUGGAAAAGGCUUCAGGUGCAGCUCCCAGCUUAGGCAGCAUCAGAGCAUCCACACAGGAGAAAAGCCCUAUCAGUGUAAAGAGUGUGGAAAAGGCUUCAAUAAUAAUACAAAACUCAUUCAGCAUCAGAGAAUCCACACAGGUGAGAAACCCUAUGAAUGCACUGAAUGUGGAAAAGCCUUCAGUGUCAAAGGGAAGUUAAUCCAACACCAGAGAAUUCACACAGGCGAGAAACCCUAUGAGUGUAAUGAAUGCGGGAAAGCCUUCAGAUGUAACUCCCAAUUUCGGCAGCAUCUGAGAAUUCACACUGGGGAGAAGCCCUAUGAGUGUAAUGAGUGUGGAAAGGCCUUCAGCGUUAAUGGGAAACUAAUGCGGCAUCAGAGAAUUCACACUGGGGAGAAACCUUUUGAAUGUAAUGAGUGUGGGAGAUGCUUUACUUCUAAAAGAAACCUACUUGAUCAUCACCGAAUCCAUACUGGAGAAAAGCCCUAUCAAUGUAAGGAAUGUGGGAAAGCCUUCAGUAUCAAUGCCAAACUAACUAGGCAUCAGAGGAUACAUACUGGGGAGAAACCUUUCAAAUGUAUGGAAUGUGAGAAAGCGUUCAGCUGUAGUUCUAACUAUAUUGUACACCAGAGAAUCCAUACAGGAGAGAAACCCUUUCAGUGUAAGGAGUGUGGAAAAGCCUUCCAUGUUAAUGCCCAUUUAAUUCGGCAUCAGAGAAGCCAUACUGGGGAGAAACCCUUCAGAUGUGUGGAAUGUGGCAAAGGCUUCAGCUUUAGUUCUGACUACAUUAUACAUCAGACAGUCCACACUUGGAAGAAACCCUAUAUGUGUAGUGUGUGUGGGAAAGCAUUCAGGUUUAGCUUCCAGCUCAGUCAGCAUCAGAGUGUCCAUAGUGAAGGAAAAUCCUAAUAAUGAGAAAGAUAUAGAAAACUCUUAAGGUUAAUGCCAAAAUGGAUCAAGUAUCAUCAGAUUCAUCCAUUGAAAAACCCCCAAGAGGGCAUGAAUAUGGCAGAGUCUUCAUAUGAAAACAGUUUUUAUUCUAUUCAGUUUUAAUCAGGAAAGGAUGACCAGUUAAAGAGAAACAUCCAAAAAUAAAUAGCUUUGUUUUGUACCAACAGGAAUUAGAAAAUAUAAUGAAAAGAUUUUGUUCCCAGCAGCAUCAAGAAAAGUAGAUUUUCUAGAAAUAAACAGUUAUGGAGGACUUGUAUGGAGAAAUUUAAGUCUUCACUGAGGGCCACUUUACAAAGGAAAUUUGAAUAAAUAGAGAGAGAAGCCUUGUUGUUGGAUAGGAAAACCCAUACUAAAGAUACUCUACCUACAUUAAUUUAUUUGUUUAAUUUUUGACAACAAGCAUGUAUUACUUUUGAAAAGAUGAAAAAUAAAGAUUUAUUUAAAAAAGAAAAAA
rnacentral:sRNA from 1 species